AACGAACGCUGGCGGCAUGCCUAACACAUGCAAGUCGAACGAGACCUUCGGGUCUAGUGGCGCACGGGUGCGUAACGCGUGGGAAUCUGCCCUUGGGUUCGGAAUAACAGUUGGAAACGACUGCUAAUACCGGAUGAUGACGUAAGUCCAAAGAUUUAUUGCCCAAGGAUGAGCCCGCGUAGGAUUAGCUAGUUGGUGAGGUAAAGGCUCACCAAGGCGACGAUCCUUAGCUGGUCUGAGAGGAUGAUCAGCCACACUGGGACUGAGACACGGCCCAGACUCCUACGGGAGGCAGCAGUGGGGAAUAUUGGACAAUGGGCGAAAGCCUGAUCCAGCAAUGCCGCGUGAGUGAUGAAGGCCUUAGGGUUGUAAAGCUCUUUUACCCGGGAUGAUAAUGACAGUACCGGGAGAAUAAGCUCCGGCUAACUCCGUG
rnacentral:rRNA from 1 species